CUGCCCUCAGGAAGGGGAUAACCCGGGGAAACUCGGGCUAAUACCCUAUAAUGUCUGGAGUCACUGAGGCUCCAGACCAAAGGUGGCCUCUGCUCUGCAUGCUACCGCCUGAGGAGGGGCUCGCGGCCCAUCAGGUAGUUGGUGGGGUAACGGCCUACCAAGCCUAUGACGGGUAGCCGGCCUGAGAGGGUGUCCGGCCACAGUGGGACUGAGACACGGCCCACACCCCUACGGGGGGCAGCAGUGGGGAAUCGUGGGCAAUGGGCGAAAGCCUGACCCCGCGACGCCGCGUGGAGGAAGAAGCCCUUCGGGGUGUAAACUCCUGUCAGGGGGGAAGAUGCUCACAGGGGUGAAUAAUCUCUGUGGGUGACGGUACCCCCAGAGGAAGGGACGGCUAACUACGUGCCAGCAGCCGCGGUAAUACGUAGGUCCCGAGCGUUGCGCGAAUUCAC
rnacentral:rRNA from 1 species